UGGGGGAUAUUGCACAAUGGGCGCAAGCCUGAUGCAGCGACGCCGCGUGGGGGAUGAAGGCCUUCGGGUUGUAAAUUUCUUUUGCUUUGAACAAGGCGCACUUUGGGGUGUGUUGAGUGUAGGGGUUGAUUAGCGCCGGCUAACUACGUGCCAGCAGCCGCGGUAAUACGUAGGGCGCGAGCGUUGUCCGGAAUUAUUGGGCGUAAAGGGCUUGUAGGUGGCUGGUUGCGUCUGUCGUGAAAGCUCAUGGCUUAACUGUGGGUUUGCGGUGGGUACGGGCUGGCUUGAGUGCAGUAGGGGAGGCUGGAAUUCCUGGUGUAGCGGUGGAAUGCGCAGAUAUCAGGAGGAAUACCGGUGGCGAAGGCGGGUCUCUGGGCUGUUACUGACACUGAGGAGCGAAAGCAUGGGGAGCGAACAGG
rnacentral:rRNA from 1 species